UUUGUACUCCCUCCGUCCCAAAAUAAGUGACUCAAAAGUGACUCAACUUACAAAGUUGAGUCACUUUUGAGUCACUUAUUUUGGGACGGAGGGAGUAUUAU
rfam:Triticum aestivum genome assembly, contig: Triticum_aestivum_CS42_TGACv1_scaffold_223893_3B